rnacentral:rRNA from 1 species
CCUACGGGGGGCAGCAGUGGGGAAUAUUGCACAAUGGGGGAAACCCUGAUGCAGCGACGCCGCGUGAGUGAAGAAGUAUUUCGGUAUGUAAAGCUCUAUCAGCAGGGAAGAAAAUGACGGUACCUGAUUAAGAAGCCCCGGCUAACUACGUGCCAGCAGCCGCGGUAAUACGUAGGGGGCAAGCGUUAUCCGGAUUUACUGGGUGUAAAGGGAGCGUAGACGGCAGCACAAGUCUGGAGGGAAAUGCCGGGGCUUAACCCCGGAACUGCUUUGGAAACUGUGCAGCUAGAGUGCAGGAGAGGUAAGUGGAAUGCGUGGUGUAGCGGUGAAAUGCGUAGUUAUUAGGAGGAACACCAGUGGCGAAGGCGGCGUACUGGAGUGUAACUGACGUUGAGGCUCGAAAGCGUGGGGAGCGAACAGGAUUAGAUACCCGAGUAGUC